rnacentral:rRNA from 1 species
AGCGAACGCUGGCGGCAGGCCUAACACAUGCAAGUCGAACGAACCCUUCGGGGUUAGUGGCGGACGGGUGAGUAACACGUGGGAACGUGCCUUUAGGUUCGGAAUAACUCAGGGAAACUGUUGCUAAUACCGAAUGUGCCCUUCGGGGGACAGAUUUAUCGCCUUUAGAGCGGCCCGCGUCUGAUUAGCUAGUUGGUGAGGUAAUGGCUCACCAAGGCUACGAUCAGUAGCUGGUCUGAGAGGAUGACCAGCCACAUUGGGACUGAGACACGGCCCAAACUCCUACGGGAGGCAGCAGUGGGGAAUCUUGCGCAAUGGGCGAAAGCCUGACGCAGCCAUGCCGCGUGGAUGAUGAAGGUCUUAGGAUUGUAAAAUCCUUUCACCGGUGAAGAUAAUGACUGUAGCCGGAGAAGAAGCCCCGGCUAACUUCGUGCCAGCCGCCGCCGUAAAAC